GACGAACCGUGCAAACGUUGUUCGGAAUCACUGGGCUUAAAGGGCGCGUAGGCGGGCAGGCAAGUCAGGGGUGAAAGCCCACGGCUCAACCGUGGAAGUGCCUUUGAUACUGCCUGUCUCGAGGGAGGUAGGGGCGUGCGGAACUUCCGGUGGAGCGGUGAAAUGCGUAGAUAUCGGAAGGAACACCGGUGGCGAAAGCGGCGCGCUGGACCUCUUCUGACGCUGAGUGCGCGAAAGCCAGGGGAGCAAACGGGG
rnacentral:rRNA from 1 species